GAUGAACGCUGGCGGCGUGCUUAACACAUGCGAGUCGAACGGUGAACACGGAGCUUGCUCUGUGGGAUCAGUGGCGAACGGGUGAGUAACACGUGAGCAGCCUGCCCCUGACUCUGGGAUAAGCGCUGGAAACGGCGUCUAAUACUGGAUAUGUGACGUGACCGCAUGGUCUGCGUUUGGAAAGAUUUUUCGGUUGGGGAUGGGCUCGCGGCCUAUCAGCUUGUUGGUGAGGUAAUGGCUCACCAAGGCGUCGACGGGUAGCCGGCCUGAGAGGGUGACCGGCCACACUGGGACUGAGACACGGCCCAGACUCCUACGGGAGGCAGCAGUGGGGAAUAUUGCACAAUGGGCGCAAGCCUGAUGCAGCAACGCCGCGUGAGGGAUGACGGCCUUCGGGUUGUAAACCUCUUUUAGCAGGGAAGAAGCGAAAGUGACGGUACCUGCAGAAAAAGCGCCGGCUAACUACGUG
rnacentral:rRNA from 1 species